AGAUUGAACGCUGGCGGCAUGCCUUACACAUGCAAGUCGAACGGCAGCACGGGAGCAAUCCUGGUGGCGAGUGGCGAACGGGUGAGUAAUAUAUCGGAACGUGCCCAGUCGUGGGGGAUAACGCAGCGAAAGCUGUGCUAAUACCGCAUACGAUCUAUGGAUGAAAGCGGGGGAUCGCAAGACCUCGCGCGAUUGGAGCGGCCGACAUCAGAUUAGCUAGUUGGUGGGGUAAAAGCCUACCAAGGCGACGAUCUGUAGCUGGUCUGAGAGGACGACCAGCCACACUGGAACUGAGACACGGUCCAGACUCCUACGGGAGCAGCAGUGGGGAAUUUGGACAAGUGGGCA
rnacentral:rRNA from 1 species